AUUGAACGCUGGCGGCAGGCCUAACACAUGCAAGUCGAGCGAGCGGCGGACGGGUGAGUAAUGUCUGGGAAACUGCCUGAUGGAGGGGGAUAACUACUGGAAACGGUAGCUAAUACCGCAUACCAUCAGAUGUGCCCAGAUGGGCUUAGCUAGUAGGUGGGGUAACGGGUAACCUAGGCGACGAUCCCUAGCGGGUCUGAGAGGAUGACCAGCAACACUGGAACUGAGACCCGGCCCAGACUCUUACGGGAGGCAGCAGUGGGGAAUAUGGCCAAAUGGGCGCAAUCCUGAUGCAGCCAGGCCGGGUGUGGGAAGAAGGCCUUGGGGUUGUAAAGCACUUUCAGCGGGGAGGCGUUAACCGAAGAAGAAGCACCGGCUAACUCCGUGCCAGCAGCCGCGGUAAUAC
rnacentral:rRNA from 1 species